UGUUAAUGACGUCACUGACCUCAUUAGGACUAGAAUAUAGUUUCUUCUGGGGGAAAAAAUGGUGCUACGCUUCAAAUUCUGUUAAAUAAGGAACACGAGUAAAGGAACGCCAGAUAAAGAAAGGUUCCAGAAGAGAGGGGAGAUGUCAGAAAAACUGGUUCUGUCACUUGUGCUGUUGAUCCUGGGACAUCUGCAGCUUUCAGUGGAGCAAAAAUCCCAUCCUGAUUUGCACCCCUUGCUGAAAAAAUCACUGGAUGAGUUCUUGGCUGGGAAAUACCUUCAAG